UACGGAGGGUGCAAGCGUUAAUCGGAAUUACUGGGCGUAAAGCGCGCGUAGGCGGUUUUUUAAGUCGGAUGUGAAAGCCCCGGGCUCAACCUGGGAACUGCAUCCGAUACUNGAAGACUAGAAUGCGGGAGAGGGAGGUAGAAUUCCAUGUGUAGCAGUGAAAUGCGUNGAUAUAUGGAGGAAUACCAGUGGCGAAGGCGGCCNCCUGGCUCGACAUUGACGCUGAGGNGCGAAAGCGUGGGGAGCAAACGGG
rnacentral:rRNA from 1 species